rnacentral:rRNA from 1 species
UACGAACCGUACAAACGUUAUUCGGAAUCACUGGGCUUAAAGUGUGCGUAGGCUGCCAUGUAAGUGAGGUGUGAAAUCCCUCGGCUCAACCGAGGAACUGCGCUUCAUACUGCAUGGCUUGAGGGAGACAGGGGUAAGCGGAACUGAUGGUGGAGCGGUGAAAUGCGUUGAUAUCAUCAGGAACACCGGUGGCGAAAGCGGCUUACUGGGUCUCUUCUGACGCUGAGGUACGAAAGCUAGGGUAGCGAACGGG